rnacentral:rRNA from 1 species
AUUGAACGCUGGCGGAAUGCUUUACACAUGCAAGUCGAACGGCAGCACGGGAGCUUGCUCCUGGUGGCGAGUGGCGAACGGGUGAGUAAUAUACCGGAACGUACCCAAUAAUGGGGGAUAACUAGUCGAAAGAUUAGCUAAUACCGCAUACGCCCUGAGGGGGAAAGCUGGGGAUCUUCGGACCUAGCGUUAAUGGAGCGGCCGAUAUCUGAUUAGCUAGUAGGUGAGGUAAAAGCUCACCUAGGCGACGAUCAGUAGCUGGUCUGAGAGGACGACCAGCCACACUGGAACUGAGACACGGUCCAGACUCCUACGGGAGGCAGCAGUGGGGAAUCUUGGACAAUGGGCGCAAGCCUGAUCCAGCCAUUCCGCGUGAGUGAAGAAGGCCUUCGGGUUGUAAAGCUCUUUCGCAAGGGAAGAAAACUUAACCUCUAACAUAGGUUGAGGCUGACGGUACCUUGAUAAGAAGCACCGGCUAACUACGUGCCAGCAGCCGCGGUAA